rnacentral:rRNA from 1 species
UACGAAGGGGGCUAGCGUUGUUCGGAUUUACUGGGCGUAAAGCGCACGUAGGCGGAUCGUUAAGUCGGGGGUGAAAUCCUGGAGCUCAACUCCAGAACUGCCUUCGAUACUGGCGAUCUUGAGUCCGGAAGAGGUGAGUGGAACUCCUAGUGUAGAGGUGGAAUUCGUAGAUAUUAGGAAGAACACCAGUGGCGAAGGCGGCUCACUGGUCCGGUACUGACGCUGAGGUGCGAAUGCGUGGGGAGCAAACAGG